ACUCAAAUGAAUUGACGGGGACUCGCACAAGUGGUGGAUUAUGUGGCUCAAUUCGUCGACAAACGAAGAACCUUACCAAGGUUAGAAAUCCAGCUGCAUCCAGACCGAAAGGAUUGGAGCCUUCGAGGGUGCUGGACAGGUGAUGCAUGGUCGUCGUCAGUUCGUGGUUUGAACUGUUCCCUUCAGUGGGGUAACGAACGCAACCCCCGUUGUCUGUUGCCUAUAUGGCCAGGCGAGACUGCUCCCUCACGGGAGAGGAAGGUGGGGAUGACGCCAGAUCAGCAUGUCCCUCUGAUACCUUGGGCUGCACACAUAAUACAAUGGUCGGUACAACGGGCUGCAAUACCGCAAGGUGGAGCCAAUCCUUAUAAAACCGACCCCAGUACGGAUAGAGGUCUGCAACCGACCUCUUGAAGCCGGAAUCACUAGUAAUCCCGGGUCAGCCAAACCGGGGUGAAUACGUUCUCGAGUCUUGUACACACCGCCCGU
rnacentral:rRNA from 1 species